AAGACCUUGCGCUUUUGGAGCGGCCGAUGCCUGAUUAGCUUGUUGGUGAGGUAAAAGCUCACCAAGGCUUCGAUCAGUAGCUGGUCUGAGAGGACGACCAGCCACACUGGGACUGAGACACGGCCCAGACUCCUACGGGAGGCAGCAGUGGGGAAUUUUGGACAAUGGGGGCAACCCUGAUCCAGCCAUGCCGCGUGAGUGAAGAAGGCCUUCGGGUUGUAAAGCUCUUUCAGCCGGAACGAAACGGUCACGGCUAAUACCUGUGACUACUGACGGUACCGGAAGAAGAAGCACCGGCUAACUACGUGCCAGCAGCCGCGGUAAUACGUAGGGUGCGAGCGUUAAUCGGAAUUACUGGGCGUAAAGCGUGCGCAGGCGGUUUUGUAAGUCAGAUGUGAAAUCCCCAGGCUUAACCUGGGAACU
rnacentral:rRNA from 1 species